UUGCAAUCCCGUUGCAACGCACGGGCAUGUUUCCUAGUGGUAGUACAAUUCACCCACCAUCUUGUCCUUAGACCUCGAUCCCAAGACUAUCAAAGAGCUUAGGUCAUGGGAUGAGUGUUGCAUGAAGCUCUUGUAUGUUUGUGGGCUCCAGUUGGAACAUGAAUUGGAGGUUAGGCUCAUAGUUGACGAUUUCAUGGUAAGCCUUUAUCUGACAUUAAAUUCCUUAUAUGUGGUUUCCUAUGUGCGUAAAUGACAUAGCCCAUGGUUUCGGUUGUGCCAUGUGCCGGAGACAUCUAACUCUAACCUCUCAAAAGGGUAACCUAUUACUAGUGUUUUCAUAUUUUAUUUUAUUUUUCUUACAAAUUUAUGUCCUUACUUUUUACUAAUUUUAAGCCUCCUAGUGUCUAAUGAAUGCUCGAAAUUUGUUGAUUGCCUCAUCCCCUCUCUCACUCCAUUGCUUCCAUUUUGGAACUUAGGAACUACAAUGUAGGAUGCAUAAAUGAUAUCCUUGUCUAUAUGAUCCAUAUGUGCUAUAGAUAAAACUAUAUGAGCAUUAUUAUUUUCCCCAAUUCUUGUUAGUUUGAAAUAUUCAUGAUUUUUACAAUCUAUUUUUCAAAUAAAAUAUUUUCCUUUUGCAUUUGCAAUGAGAUUUAAGUCAUUGUGUUCGUACUUUGCCAUAUAGCCAAUGUCAUAAAAAGAGUAAUUACUCUUCUUGUGCUUGCACACCUAGUUUUGGGGAGGAAAAAACAGAAAAAAAAAUAUUUAAAACAUUUUCCAGUUAUUAUCCUCGGUGUGUGCUAAUUCGCCACAAUACCCCGCCUCGACUAAAUUGUUGUUAUUUUGUUCAUGAAUUAAUACCAUCGAGUUGAUCCUUUUAAAGAACUUAAUUAAUAUCGUUGAUCCCUUCUUCAGCAUGAAUCAUAUUAAUGUAUUGCGAUUAAUGUGACCUUAUCUUCAUCGGUUACAAGUGUUUGCCCACUAUAAAGGAAGCAUCAUUUGCCUUUCAAUUCCACACUAGUAGUCCAAAGGGGCACAACAAGCACCAUAUUAGCAACUCAAUCCUAGAGUUCAGUGUAGACCAAGAAAUGAGGAGCACGCACAUUCUAUUCCUUGCAUUUUCCCUCCUAAUUCUAUCAUCGGCUAUGGCAGCUUCUAAGACCGUAUGCAAACACAUCAUCAGGAAGGGCAAAUGUAACAACGCCGAAUGCCUAUCUUACUGCAAGAAGUUUAUCUCCGCACCCGGUGGCCCAUCCGCCACGUGCGUACCCGAGGGAUGCAAGUGUUAUAUGUGCGGAGGAAUUCCACCGAACACACCAUAUAGCUAGAUAAAAAAAAUAGCAUAUGCAUGGACUUAUCACAGUUGGUUGAGUAAUGAAUAAAAUAAUUCGAGUAAUAUAGCAUAGUAUGAAGUUCAACAGUGCGAGAACAAUGAGAUUUUUUACUAUGCCAUAGCGAAUACUUGGGUUCCCUUUAUUGGAGCUAUGUUCCUUCUUCUUCUUAUUAUUAUUAUUUUCAAAUUGGUCUGGUGCUCUUUUACCUUGGAAAAUUAUUUGAUUUAUCAAUGAAUUUUUUUAAUCCAA